rnacentral:rRNA from 1 species
ACGCUGGCGGCAUGCCUAACACAUGCAAGUCGAACGAAGGCUUCGGCCUUAGUGGCGCACGGGUGCGUAACGCGUGGGAAUCUGCCCCUUGGUUCGGAAUAACAGUUGGAAACGACUGCUAAUACCGGAUGAUGACGUAAGUCCAAAGAUUUAUCGCCGAGGGAUGAGCCCGCGUAGGAUUAGGUAGUUGGUGUGGUAAAGGCGCACCAAGCCGACGAUCCUUAGCUGGUCUGAGAGGAUGAUCAGCCACACUGGGACUGAGACACGGCCCAGACUCCUACGGGAGGCAGCAGUGGGGAAUAUUGGACAAUGGGCGAAAGCCUGAUCCAGCAAUGCCGCGUGAGUGAUGAAGGCCUUAGGGUUGUAAAGCUCUUUUACCCGGGAUGAUAAUGACAGUACCGGGAGAAUAAGCUCCGGCUAACUCCGUGCCAGCAGCCGCGGUAAUACGGAGGGAGCUAGCGUUAUUCGGAAUUACUGGGCGUAAAGCGCACGUAGGCGGCUUUGUAAGUAAGAGGUGAAAGCCCAGAGCUCAACUCUGGAAUUGCCUUUUAGACUGCAUCGCUUGAAUCAUGGAGAGGUCAGUGGAAUUCCGAGUGUAGAGGUGAAAUUCGUAGAUAUUCGGAAGAACACCAGUGGCGAAGGCGGCUGACUGGACAUGUAUGACGCUGAGGUGCGAAAGCGUGGGGAGCAAAC